AUGCAGCGCGCCGCCGUAAGGUUUGCUUCCAUGGCCACCCGCCGAUUCGCUGCGUCGGCCACCCGCCCGGGGCUCCCAACUGGCGCGGCGCCUCUUCGGCCUGCCGCGGCGGUGGUCAACGGCACCUCGCGAUUAUCCCUCCAGCCAACUGUUGCUGCUGCCGCGGCGGCUGUGUGUGCCCGGCGCGGGUACGCCGGCACGUCUCGGGAGACGAAGACGGUCGGCGAGGAGGACGAUGAUGACGACGGCGACUUCUUCGACGAUGUGUCCUGCGACGAGGACUCCGAAGGCGACUCCGACAGCGACGAUUUGGAGGACGCUGAUCUGUAUGCUUCCGGAAGUGACUAG
rnacentral:rRNA from 1 species